UUCCGAACCACCAGUGUCUUUUUAGCCCAGUCGGUUUGUAUUAAGAAAGAAACUUAAUGCUUUAGAAUUAUUUAUUUUAAUUGACAAUUUUUUUCUUUCUUUUUUGCAUGUGAGUUAGUGUAUUCAUGUAGAGGGAGGGGGCAGAAGAGAGCAUUGGAUUCCCCUGGAACUGGAGUUACAGGCAGCUGUCAGCUGCCAGACCCAGGUGCUGGGAACUCAAUGUGGUUGCUUUCCAAGAACAGCAUGAGCUCAGCUGAGCCAUCUCUCCAGCCCCAACCAGGCUCUUGAGCAGAUCGAAUGCCUUUGAGCAGUCUCGUGAACUUUGUGUGUAAUUCCUAACAGUGAUGAUUGCUGAGUGUACUGAAAUGCCCGGGGCACAUCCCUGAAGGUGUGCAUUAGCUGCGAGUAUGCGUGAGAGCCUGUGGAAGAAGUUGUGAACUGACUGUGAACUGUGGACGGGACAGAGUGCAGAAUGCUCUCACCUACAAGGGCCUUCUAGGAAGAACUGCACAAACUAUGUCUGCUUCCAGCUGCACCCUCUCCGCAUGGCUGCCAUCUUCUGUUCGGUCUCUGGAAGUGGCUAAGAGCCCAGCAGGACUAGAUGCUGACAGUAGCCAGAAGAACGUGACAAGGCAGGAGGAAAGGCCAGACUGCUUAGAAGACCUGGAGCUGCAGACAGAGAUCCGCUGGCGGAAUCAAUCAUCCAUAUGGCUUUUCCUCCAUUAGCGUCUCUGCUCCCUCCUCCUCCGCUCCAGACACACAGUUCCUUUCCUGUGGGCCCUGUGGUCCGCUUUUGUGGCCAUCAGAGUGACUCACACAAGCACACGCCCACGCAAUUCUGACCCCAUCAUGACAGUAACUUCCCUGCCUUAUGGGCUUUUUUCCACAGCCUCUACCAGAUUCUAAAGCACAUGCAGGCAAGAAUUUGGACGAAAGAAAGAAUGAGCCCUUGUGUAUGUAGCUUUAGCUGGAGUCCCUCAAAUUACUUCCUGGCAAGAUUAAUAAUCAUUAUCUU